rnacentral:misc_RNA from 1 species
ACCCAGUCUAUCUGAGUGAACAAAUACCAAUACAUAUUAAAAUAAAAAAAAGCUAAAAUAAAACUAGGGUCCUACUACAAAAUGCUCUCCAAAUUUAAACAUGUAACCAAUUGCAAUGAAAAUACUCGCUCCAAAAUCUGCAGUUUAGAUGAUACCAAUCUUGUUUGCCACAUCUAGGGCAUCAUAAUCUGGAGUUAACCUAACGUAUGCCUUCUUCGUUCCGUCGGGCCUG